AAACUCUCCGCCCCUGUAGCUCUGAUGACGUCACGGAGGGGGGUGUCCUAAGCAGGAAGUGUUUGUGUGUAAGUUCCUAGCAGCACCCAAGGAGGGGGUUAAUAUUUGUGCAUCUCGGUCCCCCCCAGAUCCAGUGGGAGAAUUCUCGCUGCAGGUCCUGCAUUGACCAGCUGGAUUUGGGGGACCCUUAUCUGUGAAGAUGGCUUGUGAAUUUUUCCUUCUUUCUUCCAUAUGGUUUGUAGUGGUCAUUUCUUGGAUGGAGACAAUUAACAUGUGGCUCUUCCUUUGCCAUCUAAUGCAAGACGGUGUGUUGCUUCAGUACGCAGAACGAUUUAAUUUUAACCAACCAGACCAUAUAUUAUACAUAAUUAUCAGAGUCCAUUCCCUGAGGUAGCAUUAGACCUGUCCAGAGCUCCGAAGGUUGAUUUGAGAAGUGCGGGCACCUGGGCGAUGGACAUAUCCUUAUGUGGGACCGAAAGAGAGGACAUGAUUUUAAUUCAGUAUUUGUACAAAUAAUAAACAAUGAUCUCUUAUGUAGUAAACAAUUCAAGUUUUGAAUGUGACAUUUUGAUAAUUUUUGCAGAUUACCAAAUUUGUGCCAUAAAUGACUACAUCAUA